rnacentral:rRNA from 1 species
GUGGGGAAUAUUGGACAAUGGGCGCAAGCCUGAUCCAGCCAUGCCGCGUGAGUGAUGAAGGCCUUAGGGUUGUAAAGCUCUUUCAGUGGGGACGAUAAUGACGGUACCCACAGAAGAAGCCCCGGCUAACUUCGUGCCAGCAGCCGCGGUAAUACGAAGGGGGCUAGCGUUGUUCGGAUUUACUGGGCGUAAGGCGCACGUAGGCGGAUCGUUAAGUCGGGGGUGAAAUCCUGGAGCUCAACUCCAGAACUGCCUUCGAUACUGGCGAUCUUGAGUCCGGAAGAGGUGAGUGGAACUCCUAGUGUAGAGGUGGAAUUCGUAGAUAUUAGGAAGAACACCAGUGGCGAAGGCGGCUCACUGGUCCGGUACUGACGCUGAGGUGCGAAAGCGUGGGGAGCAAACAGGAUUAGAAACCCUGGUAGUCC